CCGAGUAGAUCAGCUGCCGGGAAACUGUGGCCGAUUAAUCAUGGCCGUUGUAUCACCGUGCCAUUUCAGAUUCCCCCUCCUUUAUCGUCGUAAUGUUCAACUUGUUUGCCAUUCACGAUUAUUUCCGGCAACAUGUAAAUCAGGGAGAGGUAAAACCAGGCGUUUAUCAGAAAUGCGAGAAUUUUAUAGUUUGGAGUUCCAAUUAUGUCUCCACAAAGGCGCAAGUUGUUAUAGAGGAAAGCGAGCCAUUGUAAGAAAGUCUGGUGCUUGUUUUGAAGUCGGAGGCCAAGGGACAAAUUUAUCAAGGCGGUUCCUACAAAAAUAUUAGGAGGUGAAGAUGCAUACCUCCACAAAGGUUGAUCAAGGGAUCGUCAGGCAUCAGUUUAUAGGCUUGCAAGUAUUCUCGAGCAGCAGUUUGAUGCUGACUGAUCAUAGUAAACUGGUGGCCGGUAAUAAGAAUAGGC